rnacentral:rRNA from 1 species
GAUGAACGCUGGCGGCGUGCCUAAUACAUGCAAGUCGAGCGAACAGACGAGGAGCUUGCUCCUCUGACGUUAGCGGCGGACGGGUGAGUAACACGUGGAUAACCUACCUAUAAGACUGGGAUAACUUCGGGAAACCGGAGCUAAUACCGGAUAAUAUAUUGAACCGCAUGGUUCAAUAGUGAAAGACGGUUUUGCUGUCACUUAUAGAUGGAUCCGCGCCGCAUUAGCUAGUUGGUAAGGUAACGGCUUACCAAGGCAACGAUGCGUAGCCGACGUGAGAGGGGGAUAGGCCGCACGGGAACUGGAACACGGACCAGGCGCCUGAGAGACGGAGCAGUAGGGAAUGUUCCGCAAUGGGCGAAAGCCUGACGGAGCGACGCCGCGUGAGAGAUGACGGUCUUCGGAUCGUAAAACUCUGUUAUUAGGGGAGAACAAAUGUGUAAGUAACUAUGCACGUCUUGACGGUACCUAAUCAGAAAGCCACGGCUAACUACGUG